CCAGGUUUCUGAUCUUGCUAUGGCAACAGGAAAGUUCAAAGGCUGGUUAGUUAAGAUCCGAGUGACACAGAGUACUACUGGAAGGGCAUUUUUUUACUUGUAGAAGAGUCCCUGAUGUUUUGGUUCCAAAUGCUACAGCCUUAGAAGAUGACAAAAUCACAAACAGAUGUUGGAAAUGCCCAGGACAUCCAACCCUAGCAUAGCUUUUUCAAAAAUAAUUUCCAAUCUAAUUUGGUUUGUUGGUCUUGUUUCUUUUUUAUGCCUUAUCAUUAAACCCACAUCAAACUU